rnacentral:rRNA from 1 species
AGAGUUUGAUCCUGGCUCAGAUUGAACGCUGGCGGCAUGCCUAACACAUGCAAGUCGAACGGAAACGAUGGGAGCUUGCUCCCAGUCGUCGAGUGGCGGACGGGUGAGUAAUGCUUGGGAAUCUACCCAGUAGUGGGGGACAACACGAGGAAACUCGUGCUAAUACCGCAUACGUCCUACGGGAGAAAGUGGGGGAUCUUCGGACCUCACGCUAUUGGAUGAGCCCAAGUCGGAUUAGCUUGUUGGUGGGGUAAAGGCCUACCAAGGCGACGAUCCGUAGCUGGUCUGAGAGGACGAUCAGCCACACUGGGACUGAGACACGGCCCAGACUCCUACGGGAGGCAGCAGUGGGGAAUAUUGGACAAUGGGCGCAAGCCUGAUCCAGCAAUGCCGCGUGUGUGAAGAAGGCCUGCGGGUUGUAAAGCACUUUCAGUAGGGAAGAAAUGCCUGGGGUUAAUAGCUUCGGUCUUGACGUCACCUACAGAAGAAGCGCCGCUAACU